AUCGGUGCUGAUAGCAAAGAGGUUCACCUGUUCCCAUUCCGAACACAGCAGUUAAGCUCUUUCACGUCUAAAAUACUUGGUUGGUGACGACCUGGGAAAUCGGAUAGGUGCCGGUA
rnacentral:rRNA from 1 species